rnacentral:rRNA from 1 species
UACGGGGGGAGCAAGCGUUGUUCGGAUUUACUGGGCGUAAAGGGCGCGUAGGCGGCCACCGCAAGUCGACUGUGAAAUCUCCGGGCUUAACCCGGAAAGGUCAGCCGAUACUGCGGGGCUAGAGUGCAGAAGGGGCAACUGGAAUUCUCGGUGUAGCAGUGAAAUGCGUAGAUAUCGAGAGGAACACCUGCGGCGAAGGCGGGUUGCUGGGCUGACACUGACGCUGAUGCGCGAAAGCUAGGGGAGCGAACGGG